rnacentral:rRNA from 1 species
GAUGAACGCUGGCGGCGUGCCUAAUACAUGCAAGUCGAGCGAACAGACGAGGAGCUUGCUCCUCUGACGUUAGCGGCGGACGGGUGAGUAACACGUGGAUAACCUACCUAUAAGACUGGGAUAACUUCGGGAAACCGGAGCUAAUACCGGAUAAUAUAUUGAACCGCAUGGUUCAAUAGUGAAAGACGGUUUUGCUGUCACUUAUAGAUGGAUCCGCGCCGCAUUAGCUAGUUGGUAAGGUAACGGCUUACCAAGGCAACGAUGCGUAGCCGACCUGAGAGGGUGAUCGGCCACACUGGAACGUAGACACGGUCCAGACUCCUACGGGAGGCAGCAGUAGGGAAUCUGCCGCAAUGGGCGAAAGCCUGACGGAGCAACGCCGCGUGAGUGAUGAAGGUCUUCGGAUCGUAAAACUCUGUUAUUAGGGAAGAACAAAUGUGUAAGUAACUAUGCACGUCUUGACGGUACCUAAUCAGAAAGCCACGGCUAACUACGUG